AUUGAACGCUGGCGGCAGGCCUAACACAUGCAAGUCGAACGAGUGGCGGACGGGUGAGUAAUGUCUGGGAAACUGCCCGAUGGAGGGGGAUAACUACUGGAAACGGUAGCUAAUACCGCAUACCAUCGGAUGAGCCCAUAUGGGAUUAGCUAGUAGGUGGGGUAACGGCUAACCUAGGCGCAGAUCACUAGCUGGUCUGAGAGGAUGACCAGCCACACUGGAACUGAGACAAGGUCCAGACUCCUACGGGAGGCAGCAGUGGGGAAUAUUGCACAAUGGGCGCAAGCCUGAUGCAGCCAUGCCGCGUGUAUGAAGAAGGCCUGAGGGUUGGAAAGUACUUUCAGCUAGGAGGCGUUACUCGCAGAAGAAGCACCGGCUAACUCCGUGCCAGCAGCCGCGGUAAUUC
rnacentral:rRNA from 1 species